rnacentral:lncRNA from 1 species
AUUUAUGGUUUCUAUCUUGUUUUUACAGAAAAGGAAAGAAUUGGAAAAUUGGAGAAAAAAUGCAGAAAAUUGACAGAAAAGUGAUUGGGUCAGUGAUUUGCCCAGUGAUCUGCCCAGUUCAAGCUGAAGCAGAAACCUGGAGGCAACAGGCAGAAGUGAUAUGGGCAGUGAUUUGCCCAGGACACUCGAGGACACUGGCCAAAUCACUCGCAGAAGACAGAGAGAACUGACUGGCAGAAAUGUGAUCAGGUCUGUGAUUUGCCCAAUCCCUUGAAGAAACUGGUCAAAUCGCCGGGCAAAUCACUUCGACAGCAGAAAAUACAGCAGAGCGGGAAAUUGUUCAGGAAACCGAAUUUCAAGUUUUCAGAAGUCCAAAUCCAACUCAAUCACUACCAAAACAAUUCCAAGAGCCACGAAAGAGUUUCUCACCUAAGGAAUUCCAGUUGCAAUUAAAUUCAACAUCAAAAGAGGAGUCACAAGCCAAAUUAAAAAGGGAAUUCAAAACCCUAGAAGGAUGGAACUCUUCAACUAUAAAAGGGCAACCUCCAAACCAGCAAAGGCAUCUUCUGCUGAGG